UACGAAGGAUGCAAGCGUUAUCCGGAUUUAUUGGGUUUAAAGGGUGCGUAGGCGGUCUUAUAAGUCAGUGGUGAAAUCUCGUUGCUUAACAACGAACGUGCCAUUGAUACUGUAGGUCUUGAGUACAGAUGCCGUUGGCGGAAUGUGUCAUGUAGCGGUGAAAUGCAUAGAUAUGACACAGAACACCGAUUGCGAAGGCAGCUGACGAAACUGUAACUGACGCUGAGGCACGAAAGCGUGGGGAUCAAACAGG
rnacentral:rRNA from 1 species